AUUGAACGCUGGCGGUAGGCCUAACACAUGCAAGUCGAACGGUAGCACAGAGAGCUUGCUCUCGGGUGACGAGUGGCGGACGGGUGAGUAAUGUCUGGGAAACUACCUGAUGGAGGGGGAUAACUACUGGAAACGGUAGCUAAUACCGCAUAACGUCGCAAGACCAAAGAGGGGGACCUUCGGGCCUCUUGCCAUCAGAUGUGCCCAGAUGGGAUUAGCUAGUAGGUGGGGUAACGGCUCACCUAGGCGACGAUCCCUAGCUGGUCUGAGAGGAUGACCAGCCACACUGGAACUGAGACACGGUCCAGACUCCUACGGGAGGCAGCAGUGGGGAAUAUUGCACAAUGGGCGCAAGCCUGAUGCAGCCAUGCCGCGUGUAUGAAGAAGGCCUUCGGGUUGUAAAGUACUUUCAGCGGGGAGGAAGGCGAUACGGUUAAUAACCGUGUUGAUUGACGUUACCCGCAGAAGAAGCACCGGCUAACUCCGUGCCAGCCGCCGCCGUAA
rnacentral:rRNA from 1 species